CUCUGCGCUCUCGGCAAACACCUCAACACUCGCUCUUCAAGUGCAGCUAACUCGAUUGACAUCACCCGACUACACGUCGCGUUUUCUGCUGAUCCCGUAAUGCGAGUGCAUGCGUUUUAUAACGUUAUAUUAGAGCUAAUGGCCAGGCUGGGCGGCGAGACAAGGCUCUCUGUGUCUUUUAAGGACAAUCUCAUGGUGUGUUUAGAGGUUAGAGAGAGUUCAGGGGUUACUGUGACAAAGCGAGUCUGAGCCGGAUAGAGACCGAAACGAACACACACACGCAACCGAAUACCCUCUGGCUGCCAAAGACUCAAUGAUGACAUUGUCAGUCACCCGUCUGUGUUUAUUAUGUCAGGGUUUAUUAUGUCUCCAUGUCACAGGGACACUUCGGACUGAGUAAGAGCAACAAAUCAGUCAUUAAAACCACUAAUAGAUGCUAAGCAGCCGGACUGCUGUUUAAAGGCUGGGAAUAAACGCUAAUGAGUUUACCAGCGGUGAAUCAAACCACACAGGUCUGCUGAGGACACAAGCCACCAUCCUUCAAUCCUCCUGACCUCCAACCUGCCUGACUGGAACCCACCAGCAGCUCUUAUCCAGCAGCCAUCACUGAACACUAAGGAGUGGCAUGUACCGUAUACACCACUCGUUCUGGCUAGAAACACUGGAUUUUUUUUAUAAUCUCAAGAACAGGACGCCGAACAAAAGCAAAUGCUCUGCAUGACCGUCCACAUCAGUUACACAAAUCAAUACAAGCUCAGGUAGGGUUUACGUGCAUCAAUAAAGAUUAACUGACACAACUAUUAAAAACACAUCAGGGAUUUGGUACGGGGGGGUGAAUGAAUGUUUACAGGUGAAUUAAUCAUUCACCACAAGAUCAGAAAUAAAAUACAUGGGAUUGCUUUUAACCUCAUGCUGACUUUUCAGGGAUACUUUUCUUUCUUUCAUCUUCAGAACAAAAACCGAUAUAAAAAAUCCAUUUAAACACUGAUAAGCACACAAACACACACACACACACACACACACACACACACACACACACACGUUUCUGUUCAACCGAGUUAUUGUGUGUGCUCAGGAUAAAAUGCCUGGUUAAUGUGUAUUACAUUGAUGUCUUUACGUGCAUUUCGAAGCUUUUCAAUUUGGUAGCACUGACUUUCAAUGGAUGCAUAAAAAUGAUUACAUUAAAAAUAUGUUCAUGUUCUGAAUAUAAUUAAAGUCUUAAGAUUGGAAUGACAUAAGGGCAUUAAAGCGGCUUUCUACCAGAAUAUAGAUAGAUAGAUAGAUAUAUAUAUAUAUUUGCAAUUCAGACAGAACUUUUCACAGAACUGCAAGAAUGAUAUAUAAAAGCAGAAUUACAAGAUAAAGUGAGAUUUACAAGUACAAUACAAAUGCUGAAUUAUGAGAUAUAGAUGCACAAUUAUUAGAUAUAAAAAACUACAAGCUCAAGUUCUGAAUUGUGAAUGCAAGAAUCGCUUGAUACACAUAAUUAUGAGAUGCAAAGAAAAGUCUGAAAAGAUUUUGAGUCAUGAGUGAAAAAUUCUGAGAUAUAAAAGUAAAAUUGCAAGCUAGAAAUGCAGAGCUGCGAGAUCUUAAAAGCAGAAUUAUGAGAUAUAAACAGAAUUGCAAGCUAAAAUUGUGAGAAAUUAGAGUUGUGAGAUAAUGUAUGGUCAUUUUUUAACUAAAUCUGUCUGUAUAAUAAAUAUCCAUUUCUUUCUUUAUUCCCAUCUGAUACAAUGACAUAUGAAGUGUACAUACUCACAGUGGCCAAUGUGUGCAUGCAUG